UACAGAGGGGGCAAGCGUUGUUCGGAAUUACUGGGCGUAAAGGGUUCGUAGGUGGCCGACUAAGUCAGACGUGAAAUCCCUCAGCUCAACUGGGGAACUGCGUCUGAGACUGGCCGGCUUGAGUGCAGGAGAGGAACGCGGAAUUCCAGGUGUAGCGGUGAAAUGCGUAGAUAUCUGGAGGAACACCGGUGGCGAAGGCGGCGUUCUGGACUGCUACUGACACUGAGGAACGAAAGCCAGGGGAGCAAACGGG
rnacentral:rRNA from 1 species